AUCAAAAAAAACCUCAGGAACGACCCUGUCAAUGGCGUUGGAUUAUACUUUGAAGUUCUCUGAUGCUGCCAAAAGUUCACCUCCUUGUCGUUCUCACUUCCAAAAAUCAGUUCACUUACGAGACUGGUGGCUAACUAAACCCAAACCAGAUGAUGACAGAAAGACACUAGGCGUUGCAGGCCUUACGUGCAUUUCCCAACAGAAUCGGGCCGAGCGAUGCUUUUCUUCUGCACCGAUUCUCAAGGUAUACGAUUUCUUUGAAUUAGAGACGGUUGACGGUCUAUGUGUGAUUCUGCAAGGAUACAUUAACAAAAAUCGAACGCUUGGAAAUGGAUUUCGCUCUGAGGUAUUUGAUCAUUUUCUUAUUGGUUUCCCCCCUUAUUGGGAGGAAUUUUGUACAAGAUGGCCCAAAAGAGUAUCUGCUGCCCAAGGUAUGUCAAGAGUAAAUAAGGAUGGGGAAGACUCCAUUGAAGGACAUGACGACUUUCAUGAUAGCUCCCAAGGUAAAUUAUUGAAUCGUGAUAGCCACACUGUGGAUAUGGGAGUUGAAGAUUGUGAAGAAACAAUUUUGAGCAAUAAGGCCAGUAACUUCAUGAAUGCAUCAUCGCUUGAAAUUCCACAUGAGCAUAUAAUAAAAGCUGGGCAUGAAGUUUUAUGUGAUAGAUCUUCUUUGACAUUGGAGUUUGAUGAUGAUCCAAGUCUCAAGAUGAGUUCUGGUAACAAUGAUAUUCACUGUAUGAAGCAUGACGAUGUGAGAGACUAUCCUUCGUCAAAGAAUUUCAAAAUUGAUGCCGAGGACUCGUAUACAGUUUUGAAGUGUUUAUGGGUCUCUAGUAGGCGUGUGACCAGAUCUAUGACAAAGAUGGAUAACAGUAAAAAUCGUUCAACACAUGGAUCUGUACUAGAUGAUAUAAUCAAUUUGGACCAAUCAACUGAUUUUGAUCCUGGUAAUUUGGGAAGUUCUGACAUUCCAAGGAAGGAUAUUAACAAUUCCUUAUCUAAUAACAAGGCUGUAAAUGUUGUAGAUUGUGAUGGAACAAACUUUCUGCAUCAUGGUGCUUCAAGUUCUAUUAAGACUGCUGCUGAAAAAUUGGAAUUGUUGAACUUGAGAAGUUAUCAGAAAGGAAAUUCCUCUUCUGGUUGUGGUGUGAAGUGCGAAAGCAGGAAGAAUAUUUCAACGUCUGAGGGAAAUCUAGAUGAGCAGAAUUUGAAGAAAAUUUCUUCAAAUCUUUCUUUUAUAUACGAAAAUGGGUCAAAUGAAGCUUCAACUUGCUCUAGUGACAUGGUCUCAAGGAUUAAAUCAAAACGAAAACAGAAUGUCCAAUAUGUUGGUGAUGUUACCGAGGAUCUGAGAAUCAAAUUAGCUUCUCAAGUUGGUACUUCUAAUCUGAGGAAAAAUAUUGAUGCUGAUGUAAUCAGUGAAUCACAGAUUGCCACAAGAAGUGAUUUAGAGGCAAAACACUUCAAAGCCAAGCGUUCAAAUCCUUUGGAUCCAUUAAGUACCACAAGCAUGGAUGUUGGAUGCCUAGUAAAUUGUUCCACUGAGAAUUUCAACUUUGCUUCAAGCAAUAUAGAUCUAGAUGACAACAUAGUCAUUUCAAGAACAAACAUGAAAGCUUGUCGAAAUAAGAAGAAAGACGCAGCACGUGAAGUCACCGGUAUGAUUGAUGUCUCAGACAAUAGAGGUGCCUUUAAGGCUGGAGCUGCAAAGCAAGGAAUUGUGUUCAAAGAAGCAAGCAUGACAAGAUCUAAAUCAGGAAGGCAAUGCAUAACAAGUCCUAAAUCAGCUAAAUCUACCUCAAGGCUUGAUCUCAAACACCCAACAAGGACAUCAGCUGGGAAGGGCUUCAAGGAUAGAUAUGGAAGUGCAAACAUUUUGUCUCCAGAAUCUUUCAGUGGCAAAAAAUCUAGAUCAGGAAGAGUGCUUCUGCCUGCCUUGGAAUUCUGGCGCAACCAGACGGUGGUUUAUGAUGCGGACCGACAAGUUACUGGAGUCCUGGAAGGAACCUAUAUCACACAAUCAUCAAGAGUAGAUAUUUCCGAAGAUAACAAGGAAUUUAAUAAGAAACCUAGAAAAACAUGCAAACCAUGAAUGUUCGCAGUUAUCAGCAUUUGCACAUUUUCAUAGGUGAAUGUGCCAGUGCUUGCUGGAAAAAAUCUACUAUAGUCAUGACUUGGCUUGUUUUAGGGCAGAAAGCGGAUGAUUUCGACGAGGCCCUCCCCUUUAACCCGAACAGCCAGAUUAAUUACAGGUCAUCCCCUACCUCCGGAUCCAUGACUAUAUAAGCUAUUCUUAAGAGAUUUAAUAUAGAUGAAAUCGUCAGAAGCUUCUUGAGUUCUGGUCUAACUUUCUGGUUCUUAGGCCUAAUAAAGAACGGACUAUAGAGCAUUUUUUAUGCCUUUUUAAGUUUUGAGCAAUGGGUUUCUUUCAAAAUCCGUCUUGUUGGUAGGGGUCGUGAUGAAAGCCUCGAGUGUACCACAAAAGUAUAUCUUUUGUUCAUUGA